UUUCAGUUAAUUUAAAAUAGAAAAGUUGGUGCUUUUUAGACGCCGCAAUUUCAAAUUAAGUCUAAGUUAGCGAGAACUGAGUUUGAAACUUGUCCAAACUGAGAAGUCAUUGGAUCGUUUGGUUGGAUAUAACUAGAAAUAUAGUGCGGUCAGAGAUGCUUGUAGUUGGAGAUGUACUAUUUACAACUUGAAAAUAAUUUGUUUGGUUCCGUAUAAUUGAUCAUGAAAAGUAUACAUCAAAAUGUUAUCACUUUAUACCGAGUGUCUCUAGCGCAAGUGACAAAAAUUUGAUAAUUGGUACGCGAGGUCCCAGGUUCGAAGCCUUAGUUGCUUCACAUUUCUAGUUAAGUUUAUUUUUUAAAAAAAAUAAAUGAAACAUGUAGCAUGUUAUCUUUCUCUCUCAAAAAAAUAUAUCAUCACUUUAUAUAUGUAGGGGUGAGAUUAUCUAUUAGGUGAAAAAAAGAAAAAAUUAUCUUCGAAAAAUGAUUAGAAAAGUAAGCUUAUAUUUUGCUUAGAAUUAUUCUCUCUACUACUGCAGUUGGCUGUAAGACUAAUUUGAGCGUAGUUCCGACAUCUAUUGCCAUAAUAACUUAGGGAUAAAAAUGGGUUAUAUAUUGUUUAUUAGUUGAAAAAUAUAUCUCCUGAUGGAUAUGUUAAUAGA
rnacentral:lncRNA from 1 species